rnacentral:rRNA from 1 species
CAGCAGCCGCGGUAAUACGAAGGGUGCAAGCGUUAAUCGGAAUUACUGGGCGUAAAGCGUGCGUAGGCGGUUUGUUAAGUCUGUUGUGAAAUCCCCGGGCUCAACCUGGGAAUGGCAAUGGAUACUGGCAAGCUAGAGUGUGUCAGAGGAUGGUGGAAUUCCCGGUGUAGCGGUGAAAUGCGUAGAGAUCGGGAGGAACAUCAGUGGCGAAGGCGGCCAUCUGGGACAACACUGACGCUGAGGCACGAAAGCGUGGGGAGCAAACAGGAUCAGAUACCCCUGUAGUCCCUGUCUCUUAUAC